GAAAAUUAUACCCGUUUUACCUGGAGAUUACAGUGAUCUGGAGUUGAAACCUGUUGGAGUAUUAGAUGUGAAGCUUGUGCAAGCCAAGGACCUAGCAAAUAAGGACAUGAUUGGGAAAUCCGAUCCUUUCGCCGAGUUAUUUGUGCAUCCACUUCGGCAUAAAAUGAAAACCAGUAAAACUAUUAAUAAUACAUUGAAUCCAAUUUGGAAUGAGCA